GGGUAAACUGGAACUCGUUUAUUGGUAGCCACAACUGACCUUAUAUGCAGUUCCCCAUGCAAAGGGCACUCCCCCCUGGACCUGAGAGUAGACUACAGUAAAAAACACAAUUACAUUGGCUCUCAGGUCCAGGAUACUCCCACAUAAAACAAGAUAAUCCCUCCUCUGUGCCUGGGAGAUAAUUGAGUCAGGGACUGUACUAAACUCAAAUAUCUCCAGGUACAGAAAACAUACAUAUUUUAAAAACCCUUAAAAUGCCUUUAGACACACAAACCCCCACAAAAGUUACAUCCCCUGAUAGCCCCGAUCUGGGUGACCAACAUAUCCAAAAAUCACCCAGAUUGGUUAAGGAAUUUUCUGGAAGUCAUAAUUUGACCGACCGCACUCAUGGUCCCAUGUCCAAAACAGUUCCAGAGAAUCAGGGCUUGCGGUCAAUCUAGUUCGGUAGUUUAAAAGCCAAACAAACUACCGAACAUAGCCAAUGUUCUUACCCUGGAGCUUGUUCACCUUGUUCGUGGAAACAAUCCCACCAAACAGUGCCCUUCUAAGUGGUGUAGAACCGAAUGCAAGCGAUCCUGCAGUGACAGACAGCCAAGGGGGAAAUAAAAAUGGAAACAAUAAUGGUGCAGUUUGUUCCACAGUGGAUAAAAGGUAAUAAAAAAUAGUAGAUACACUCACAUUUAAUAGAGCUUAUACCAGCUCUAGUAUGGUAGGCUUGCAGCGGUAUGAUCCCCGCUUCUGGGAUAUAUGAGGAGUGAUCUUGGAGAUGGUCACAGGAGCUCAGAGGGAAGAUAAUAAAACAGCAAUAGUGCUCUCAGUAAAAUAUUGCUAGCAUAAAAAGUAUAAUAAAAUAUACUCACAGAUGAUAGGGUAGGCUAACUGCUCUAUGACAAGGGCAUAUGUGGUAUGAUCCCCACCUCGGAUUCUUGGAGUACAAGACAAGAGUAAAAUAAAGUAAAAAGCCAGGUAAUAGUAAUAAAAAUUUAAAUAAAAGAUGAUGGUACAAGUAUAAAAAGGACCAAACAUUUUUAAUCCAUUGAUAAAGCCUAUAUGGAGAAACGCGUUUGGAUAUUAUAAUGCUUUUUAAUUAUUGUUAAUAAAUAGAUUUUGGUCCUUUUUAUACUUGUACCAUCAUCUCUUAUUUACAUGAAGUGUAAAAAGGAAGUGCUUUCCCUCAAUCGAAACCCACUGUGGGCGUUGUUGAGUCGCAGCUGCCUGCAUCAAAGGUGCAAGCACAGCCGCCUUGUAGUAAAGGAGAUCAGGGACCCUAGUGCCUCCCUCAUCAUAGUGUCUACAUAGGUGUUUUAAUGAUACUGGGUUUUUUUUCCUGCCCAUACGAACUUUGUUAAAUCUGUCUGUGCCUUAUUAAAGAAAGACAAGGGUUCUAGUAUUGGUAGUAGGCGGAAAAUAUAUUGUAGUUUAGGCAGUAACAUAAUUUUAAAGGCAGCUGCUCUCCCUACCCAUAAAAUAUACUUCUCUCCAGUCCCGUAUUUGAAGUUCUAUCUCUUUCCAGAUCCUGACAUAGUUAUUAAUAAAGAGGUCCCGAGGGUUUCGCGACAAACAGAGGCCUUGGAACUUUAGGUGCUUGUCUGACCAAUCAAAUUUAUACUUUGACCAAAGAAAUUGGGUGGCCGCUCGAGUAAGGUUAAUUCCCAUAGCUUGGGAUUUUGAUUUGUUUCAUUUGUAGUAAGACACAGCCCCGUAGUCCAUCAGGAGUUAGUGGACUGCUGGUACAGAUGCUAGUGGCUGGGUUAGUGUGAUCAGGACGUCGUCUGCAAACAGACUGAGCUUGUGUUCUUUCUUCCCUAUUUUGAUGCCAUGGAUAUUGGGCGAGGAUCGUAUCAUAGCUGACAUAAGUUAUCAUGCUAAUAUGUACAAAAGCGGCGACAGGGGGCAUGCCUGCCUCGUCCCAUAAGUUAGCGUGAAUCUAGUAGAGGUGAAGCCACCGUUGGAUACCACCGCCGUUGGUCUAUAAUAAAGGCCCAUGACCGGAGAAUGCCAAACUCUACCAGUGCAGAGACCAAGAAUCCCCAGCCCAACCGGUCAAACGCUUUUUCUGCAUCCAGCGAGAGCAGGAGGCCCUCGGUCCCAGCCUCUCUCAUGUGACACAACAGGUCCACCACUGUGAGUGUUAUCUGCCCCCUGGCAGCCAGUCACAAACCCCACUUGGUCCAUCUAACGGAUCACCUGGCUCCCCGACUGGGUACCUCCGUUGAAGGAUGCUCCUAGCACUUCCUGAAGACUCCAAGCACUGCAGCAGACACCACAACCACCAAACCGGAGAAGCAUACGAAUGCUCUCAAGCAUAUGAAUGCUGUAAGCAGCUGAACAGGAAAAGCAUACAAUCAGCUUACACUCCUGGCAAUCAGCAUACAAUCCAAUUCCCCCAAUAACGAGACGACACUUCGUUUUAAGGUCAGAACUGAACUUUUAAUCACACAACCUUCUUUUAAAGCUUUCUCCCAUGCAAGAGAGGGAUUUACAGUAAUUACACAAUACACCAAUCAUACACGAGUUGCCACCCACACAUCCCCUCCCCUUAGUGUGACACAUAAUCCCAUUAUGUAAGACACAGUUCCCCUUGUUUUCUGGAUGUACCCCUAAACCUAGGAGUAUCCCUUUAAAUAUUACAUCCCCUGGUGGCCCUGAUCUGGGUGAGACACAUAUCCAAAAAUCACCCAGAUCAGAUCAGGGGUUCAGGAGUUAUGGGGGUUUCAAGUUUUGUGGAGGUCCCUUUUGGUCAACUGAAACAUGGCUUUCCAGAUCAAACCAGUUCCAGCUAGUCUGGCAGUGUGCCUGGGACAACGCCCUGCUGGAGAACAAUGGGACAGGAAACGGGGGAGGGGUACACCUUCCUAUACACAAUCUAUACACAGUCUAAUAGAAGUCCAUACACGGUGCUUAAAGGGCCAGUAGCCACAUAAUAAAAAUCCAUCAUGCCCAAAUACCCCCAGGGCCAUAGUCACAUGGCAGGAGGCGGGCAAGCAAGCCCCUCCAAAAGCUCAUGGCAAACUCUCUUAAAGGGUUGAGUUUGCUACAUAUCUCCCUUUUCCCAUUGAGACUAUCCAGACUCCAGACCUCCCAAUGGUCUGGUGCUCUGAUAGUCUGCCGGCCUUUCUCAAAAGGUGUAGUUGUCCAGAUGGCCUCCUGCCACCUGUGCCCAGUUGUAGAUCCCGGGUCUUGUGGAAAAACAACCAGGAUGCCUUCUCCCCUGGUUGGACAAAGCUUUUGCUGGGGAUGGCGGAUGCAGUUCCCCUCCUCUAGACCUGGUGGGUCGAGGUCCGCAAAACUUUGCUCUGUGGUCCUCGGUGCCCUUGAUGUAGAUGGUGUGCCAUCAGGAUCUAAGGCAAAAGGGAAGAGAGGGCAGAAGCAGCCUGCUUUCUGACCGGUUGCCAGCUUUUCUUCCUGCAACACUCUCCCUUGUUGUAGGGGAGAACCGACUGUUUCCCCUUCCAAUAAAUGGUCCCGCUGUUGGGAAGGGGAAACAGCCUUCUCCCCUUCCAAUAACAUGCUCAGCCACUCCAACAUCACACUUGGUUGCUGGAGGGGGGGGCAGACUGUCUCCCCCUUGGCUAAAUGGUCCUGCUGUCGGGAAACAGGACACCCCCGGUGGUGCAGGUGCAGAGACUACAGUCCCAUCUGUACUGUUGUGGGGCUUAUUGUCUCCCCUUGGUGGGCUAUGCUGCCGCUGAUAAGGGAGGACGCUGCUCUCCCCUCCCAGUGAAACACACUGCCGCUUGGGAUCUGGGUCAACCGUCGUAAUGUUAGCCAGUAGCAUAUCUGGCGGUAAGCCUUUGCCGUGGUUGGUGAAGUUAAACAGCUUCGUCAGGUAUGGUUCUAGAAGAUCCCCAAAGACCUGGUAAUAUUUGCUUGUAAGGCCGUCCGGCCCCGGCGCUUUGUCGGCAGUCCCGAAAUCGUCUUAAGUAUCUCUGCAUCCGAUAAAGGUGCUGUCAGUGAUCCUGCUUGGUCAUUGGUCAAUUUGGGGAGGGAUACCAGUGUCAGGAAUUCUUGGAACUGUUCCUUAGAUGGUGUCAUGUUUGGUUGGUCAGUCUGUAUGUUUUAUAGUGCCUUGUAGAAUGUCGCAAAAGUCUCGCUGAUGUCUUGAGGUUUGCGUACUAUUUUCAUAUUUGUACGUAUGUGGGUGAUACGUUGUUUUGCCUGUCUGUGUUUGAGCAUAUUGGCCAAUAACUUGCCUGCCCUAUUUCCCUGGUGGAAAAUCUAGAUUUUAGUUUGUGUAGGUGGAGGUUCAUUUUGUGUAGGUUGUCCUCCUCAAUUAGGGAUUUUAGUGCCUGUAUCUUUUUAGCCAGCUCUCUGGAUGCUUUUCGUUUGUUUUGUUUGGUUAGGUAUUCUAAUUGGAGGAGCCAGUCUUACAUUUGUGAUUCCCUUUGCCGUUUUUGUUAUGUCGUCCUCCUUUUAAAAAUGCCUCUAAUCACAGACUUGUGAGCUAACCAUAUAUUGUCUAAGGAAGUCUCCCGUGUCAUUCCUAGUAAAAUAGUCUUGUAGUUCUACCCUAGCAUUCUUAACAAAGUCUACAUCUUGGAGUAGUGAUUCAUCAACCUCCAGUAUCCUUUCCCUUUGUAGGUGUAAGCAUCUCUUAUGUGUAGAAAGACUAGCGCCUGAACCCCUGAUCUGAUCUGGGUGUCCUAUCACGCAUUUGUCUAUUUGAGUCAGGUCCGUAGGCGAGAUGUAAAAGAGAUCCAAUCUCGUGUAAGAGUUGUGGACCGCUGAGUGGGAAGUAUAAUCUCUUUCGUUAUCAUGUAAUGUGCGCCACAUAAGUUGUGAAACUGAAUACGGGACCAUAAAGAUUUGCAGGAGCCCUGUAGCGUCUUCAGUCUUGGUUUUGUGAACUGAGCUGAAGAAUCCAGGCCUGGUUCCAUCCUGUCUAUUUAUUACAUAGCACCUCCAAAAAAUGAGCCUGAUUGGAAUUUGGGAAGUAGGCUUUCGUUAUAGUAUAGGUAAUGGUAAUUUUAUUUACAAUGCAGACUAGUAUUGGAUCUGAGAGUUUGCGCAGGAGAGUAAAUGCUAUGUUAUCGUUGACCAAAAUGCAUAGCCCUCUUGCCUUCGUGUGGGCCGGGGACUUAUAUUGCCUGAUAUAUUGUUUUGAGUAUAAGGAUUGCGGUGGCUGUUUGUUAAAGUAGGUCACUGCCAUUUGGACAAAUCUUUGUAUAGGUUAAGUUUGUGUUGGGUAUUCAAUGCCUUAACGUUGUGUGUGACUAUUUUCAUAAAUCAGAUCUCGGGUGUAUGUGCUUGUGAGUGUCUGUUCUGGCCUUAUCAGAAGUGCUGGUAGUGGGGGAGUGGGAGGGUAGUGGAGGGAAGGGUACAUAACCAUAAAACAUUAUAUACAAAAACAAAUUAUUUACAAACAAAACAGCCCAUAUCCUAUCUCCCAAGGGGGUGGAGAUGCCAUCAACUGGGCCAUGGCAACUCCCUGGGGUCGUGGUAAUUGUGAACCAUUCCAGUGUGUUUAAGUAGUCAGCCCACUGGCUAUGGCACUAUUCGCUGACUGCAUAUAAUGCUUAGGUCCCAUUAACUGCCUGAUAACCAACUAGCCCAUAUAUUCGGUGCCUAGUCUCUUGCCGCUAUACAAACAAAAUUUCCCUUUUUGUUUUUGUGAGAAUCAGUGACAACUUUAAGCGUAACAUCUCCAAGGUGUGGGUCUCCUAGUAUGAGUCCCAGGCCUGUGAUAGCCACUUGGAAUAAUAAGGGAAGAGUGCCUCUAUUAUGGCUUCUUGCCUAUAGAAGUAAAAAUAUCAGCUCCGCCUUACAUGCUAGUAACAGAACUAACAAGUAUAGACAUGCGGGACAACUCUACGUUACCCAAAGGGGUCGCCCCAUUCGGGCUGUAACAGCACGUGCUUCAGAGAAUCAGUUCCUUUACUGGACCUUUUGCCAUUCAGGGGACAGUCUCCUUGGGCGGGAUGCGAGUGGUUUUUAAGGGGGCUGAAUAGGUAUGUCCCAGUCCUGUAAGAUCUAACGUCCUUCUUCCACCAUCUUGAUCGUGUGUAAGGUUUUUCAUUACAAGUAGUUUGGUUGGGAAUCCCCAUCUGUACGGCACGUUUUGAGCCCAAAGAGAUUAUGUGAUUUGCGAGAGUUACCUUCUUUGGAACAGUGUGGCCGGGGAAAGGUCUGCAUAGAGUUGUAGAGCUUUGUAUUCCGCUAGCGGUCCAUUCUUGUGGCUGGCUUUCAUGAUUUGAUCUUCAAUGUGGAAGUAAUGGAUUCGCAUAAGCACAUCCGUAUGUGUUUCUGCCUCCCCACCCUGUGAAUGCGAUCUAUGAUGAGGAAGAAGGUUGUAACGUAAUGGAGCAAUUGCCUGGUUUCUAUGGACUCUGAUAUGACCCUUAUGCACACAUUGUUCCUCCUGGAACGAUCCUCAAGGCCAGUCAGCUUGUCUUCAGAGGUUUUCAGUCUGUGUUCUAUGUGUUGCAUUGCAUCAACCAUGCUAUUGUGGGCCUCCGCAUGCUCUGCCAGUUUAUUCUCUGUGUGAUGUGUGCUCACCCAGAUCAGCCACAUCUUUGGUGAGAGUCGCCACGGUCUCUCGGAAUUGAUGCAUCAUUAAGUGCUUCCAGCAAGGAUUUCAUCUUCAUUUCUGUGAUCAGACCAUCACCUCCCGUCGGAGCUUCGUAUUCCAGGUCUGAGAGCGGAGCCUCAGUCCCCACUUCGGCGCCAUCUUGUUCACUGUUAGGCGGUCUUUUGGACCUGCAGGCUGUUUGUGUGAAGAAGGCAGCCUUGUCUGCUUUUGUUUUAUUUUUCAACGCCAUCUGUCCCAGCAGCUUGUUAACUCACGGUAGAAGGCUUGAGUACCUUGCUAUUCCGCAGUUUUAGUCCCUAUUACCGUCAUGUUAUGCCGAUCGCGUAGGAGCACAAGAUUUAUGCGACCAUUCCCGUUGGCUGUUGGCCACGCCCACCGUUCCUAUACCUUUGUUGUUUUUUUUCCCAAUUUGCCAAUUUUUAUUGGUUUGCAUAAUGUGAGGAGUACAGCAUGGAAGAAGGAAAAAAGGGGGGAGGGGAGAAUUAAUUUAAUCAGUAUAAAAUUUAGGCUCGUACAGAAUAGGCAAUGAAUACAGAUAUAAUAUACAUGUCAUUCACAUAAGGACAUUGUCUCGUCAUCAGGUUUCACAGUUCAUCCAGCACUCUAAACAGGCGCAUCGUAUGCCUGGUACAGACCUAUAGGAGGUAGGGCCUUCAUAUCCCUCACUUCACGUUGACAUUUAAUUGUCAUGAUAGUUCAUUUGGUAGGCGAUCUCCACGAGUACCACAUACCCCAUGCUUUACGGGAGGUUUGAUUGGGAGGGAAUUGUGUUUUCAAGUCCUGCUCAUAUGAGCUCUGUGUAUCCAGGUCAGUGAGUAAGCGCUGAGACACAGGGGGCCUUUUUUCCCCCAGUUUUUUUAGGAAUUACCCUCUGUGCUGUCAGCACAAUGUGUAGUAGCAAUUUUAGUGUGGCCCUAGGUUAGCCCACCAGUAGGUCAAUUAGUAACAGCUGUAGGGGUGCUAGUGGGAUGGAGCACCCAGUUGUUGCCUGUGCAACGCUAUGUACACCUGCCCAGAAGGUUUGAAUGCGUGUGUGACGAGACCAAUCUCGCCGCAUUGCAUUGGAGAAGCCUGGUUGCUCACCUGUUGCCUUUGGAUUAUGGCCCCAUGUUAAAAGGCUUGAUUUUCCCCUGCAAAGACAUGAAAGCCGGGUCAUUCGGUGCUUGCCCUGUUUGAGCGGUGAUACCCCAGAUAGCUAUGCCAUGGUGCCC
rnacentral:lncRNA from 1 species